GGCGAGGGCGGAGGAACCACCUUCGAUCCGCGAGGAUCUUGGGGUGAAGCCUCGACUACGAGGCAAAGUGUUCUCCCACUUGAACCCGACAGCUCACUUCGCAGGCGAAACUAGGAGA
rnacentral:sRNA from 1 species